CAAAGGAAGGCUAGGAUUGAUUUUUGGGGUAAUUCCCUCAAAAUUUUAGGAAUUAGGGGCCAUAAAGGGGCAAAAAACCAAGCAUUUUUCUAGUUUCAGGACAAUAACUUGUGUGUAAGUGUAUGGAUCUUUAUGAAAUUGUACUGCAAGGUUCCAUAUCACAAAAGGAAAGCUGGGUUUGAGUUUGGGGGUAAUUGCCCUAAACGUUUAGGAA